rnacentral:rRNA from 2 species
AUAGCCUAACGGCUGAACCAGCAACUUGGAAGAAUGUAUAGCAAUUGCUAAUUGCACUAAAAAUUUUAGUGUAAAAUUGAUUUUCUCGAAUAAAAUUCUGGGUGGAAUUUUGAUAAUGACAAUGUCUAUCCAUUAGUCUUGACCAAAUUACGUGCCAGCAGUCGCGGUAAUACGUAGAAGACAAGUGUUAUUCAUCUUUAAUAGGUUUAAAGGGUACUUAGACGGUAAAUAAAGCCUCAAAAAGGGACUAAUUUGCUAGAGUUUUAUGUGAAGAAGUAUUAAAGUACUACUGGUGUAGAGAUGAAAUUCAGUUAUACCUUACAUGGCACAGGUUAAGGCGAAGGCAUCUUCUUAUGUAAAAACUGACGUUGAAGGACGAAGGCUUUGUGUAUCGAACAGGAUUAGAUACCCUAGUAGUCUAAGCAGACAAUGAUGAAUGUCAUAGAUUAGAUGUAAUUUGAUCUAUAAAUGAAAGUGUAAGCAUUCCACCUUAAGAGUAAUUUGGCAACAUUGGAACUGAAAUCAUUAGACCGUUUCUGAAACCAGUAGUGAAGUAUGUUGUUUAAUUUGAUAAUCCGCAAAAAACCUUACCACAAUUUGAAUAGAUAUAUUUUAUCAUACAAGCGUUGCACGGCUGUCUUCAGUUAAUGUCGUGAGAUUUUGGUUAGUUCCAUUAAAUUAACGUAAACCCUUACUCUAUUUUUAAAUAAAGUAGUUCACCGCUAUAUUGGAUGUGAUAAUAGGGAUCAAGACAAGUCAUCAUGACCUAAAUAUUGU